UCUCAUUUGCAUGAAAGGAGAAAGAAGAGAGCUUUUAAGGAAAGGAAAGAGGAAGAUCUGAAGAAGAUUAUCAUUUUCUUCCUCAAAAGAUUAUUCCUUGUCAAAGCUGACCAUGGGCUGGGCUGUGAUUUUCUUGGCAGUCCUCACUUACUGCACAGGCACUGAUGGUCAGUCCCCUUGGACUCAGCCUCCCUCCAGCUCCAUCUCCCUGGGUGGAACCAUUACGAUCACCUGUAGAACUCAGAGUACCAACAGAAUCGGCUGGUAUCAACAGAAAGAAGGAAAAGGCCCUCAUUUUGUCCACUGUGAUGGCUGCAGCAACAGGGGAGAAGGGAUCCCAAAUCGCUUCACUGCCACCAGAUCUGGCACUACAGGAUCCUUGGCCAUCACCAAUGUGGAGGUUGGAGACGAGGCAGAUUAUUACUGCGGCAGCUGGAACAGUGCAGUUACCCAGUUGCACAACCUCAGCCUUCAACAACUGCAGUCCCUGAAGGACUCAGAAUUUGUGGCACCUGGAGGGACAGUCACCCUGUCUUGUCGAUACGAUGGUGGAAAUCUUGGGGAUAGCCAUGAACCUUCGUGGUCCCAGCAGGUAGCUGGGCAACAACCUCGAGGACUGAUCUAUCACACUAGUUCCAGACUAUCAGGGGUUCCAGAACGUUUCUCUGGAUCCAGAUCAGGGAAUGUGUUGUCCUUGACUAUCACUCGGGCUCUGGUUGAAGACGAAGCCACCUACUAUUGUUCCAUCUGGACGAGUAGUCAGUUCCACAGUGAUUUGUUCAGGUGA